rnacentral:lncRNA from 13 species
GAGUGAGGGGAUGCUCCGGGAGUGAGGGGAUGCUCCGGGAGUGAGGGGGUGCUCGAGGAGCUGCUCCGGGAGCUGGGGGAGCUCGGGGAGCUGGGGAUGCUCCGGGAGUGAGGAGGUGCUCCGGGAGUGAGGGGAUGCUCCUGGGAUCCGGGGAAUGCUUCGGGAGUGAGGGGAUGCACCGGGAGAUGCUCUGGGAGCCGGGAAAUCCUCCGGGAGUGAGGAGAUGCACCGGGAGUCGGGAGCCGCUCCUGGAGCCGGGGCAUGCUCCGGGAUCCGGGAGCGGUUCCGGGCAUGAGGGGAUGCUCAGGGGGUGAGGGAAUGCUCCGGGAGCCAGGGAAUGCUCCGGGAGUGAGGGGAUGCUCCGGGAGUGAGGAGAUGCCCCGGGAGCGGCGGAAGGGAAGCUCCGGUAACAGGAGAAUGUUCUGGGAGCCGGGGAAUGCUCUGGGAGUGAGGGAAUGCUCCAGGAGCGGCGGAAGGGAAGCUCCGGUAAUAGGAGAAUGUUCUGGGAGUCGGGGAAUGCUCCGGGAGAGACGGAGGCUCCGGGACCCGGAGAAUGCUCCGGGAGUGAGGGGAUGCUCUGGGAGUGAGGGAAUGCUCCAGGAGCGGCUCUGGGAUCCGGGGAAUGCUCCGGGCAUGAGGAGAUGCUCCAGGAGCGGCGGAAGGGAAGCUCCGGUAACAGGAGAAUGUUCCGGGACCCGGGGAAUGCUCCGGGAGCUGGGGAAUGCUCCGGGAGAGACGGAGGCUCCGGGAGCGGGAGGGAGGGAGGGAGGGAGGGAAGGUCCCGAGGGAACACAGGGACAAGGACAUGGGGAUGGGGGGUGCCGGGGAUGCAGGGACGAGGGGAUGCGGGGAUUAGGGAAAACGGGGAAUUCAGGGAUUGGGGAGGACGGGGGAUUCGGGGAUCGGGGAAAACAGGGAAUUCGGGGAUCGGCGGAGCGGGACACGCGGCAGAGGCUCCUCACUUGUACAGGCUCCGGCCCCCGAUGGUCUCGAGGUUGGAGAAGACGCUGAAGUUGUGCAUGUGCUUGGGCCAGGACUGGAUGUUCAGGCCCGUGAUGAGGAAGUCGAGGUUGCCCAGGAUCUUGGUGCAGUUGAUGAAGGUGUCGAUGUUGCUCGAGUCCACGGUCUGGUAUUUGCUGCCGGCGCCGGUGCCCUCGCAGGCUGUGGGGUGCGGGACAGGGGUCAGGGGGGGUCCCGCGACCCCCGGCCCCCUCGGGGACCCCCAGCCCCGUACCCUUGGGGCACAGCCCCGCGCAGGGCUCGCAGAUCUUCAGCCCGUUCUUCUCCACUUCCAUCUUGUCGUUGGGGCAGGCACGCACGCACGAGCUCUGGUCCACCACGAAGUUGUCUGGGGGGAGAGGCUCGGGGGUCACCGAGCGCCCGUCCCCAGAGCCCCCCGGAGCCCCCCAAAUCCCGAGCGCCGACUCACGGGGGCAUUCCCGCACGCAGACCCCCCCGUACUGGUACUUGGUGUCGGGGUUGGGCUCCAGCUGGAACGUCAGCUUGUUGUAGAUGAGGGGCUGCGGACACAGCGGGACACAGGCGCCGCUGUCGUUGAAGUGCCGGCAGGCCUGGGAGGGACAGAUGGACAUGGGGUGGACAUGGGAUGGACACAGGGGUGGACAUGGGGUGGACAUGGGAUGGACACACGGAUGGACAUGGGGUGGACAUGGGAUGGACACAGGGAUGGACACAGGGAUGGACAUGGGGUGGACAUGGGAUGGACACAGGGAUGGACACAGGGAUGGACAUGGGGUGGACAUGGGAUGGACACAGGGAUGGACAUGGGGUGGACAUGGGAUGGACACACGGAUGGACACACGGAUGGACACAGCGGGACACAGGCGCCGCUGUCGUUGGGCCUGAGAGGGACAGAUGGACAUGGGGUGGACACAGGGUGGCCAUGGGGAUGGACAGGAGAUGGACAGGGGAUGGACAUGGGGACGGACAUGGGGAUGGUUAGGGGGGACACAGGGACAGCCAGCUGGACACAGGGAUGGACAGACGGACACAGGGAUGGACGGACACAAGGACGGACAGACGGACACAGGGAUGGACAGACGGACACAGGGACGGACAGACGGACACAGGGACGGACAGACGGACACAAAGGACGGACACACGGACACA